rnacentral:rRNA from 1 species
AUUGAACGCUGGCGGCAUGCCUUACACAUGCAAGUCGAACGGUAACAGGUCUUCGGAUGCUGACGAGUGGCGAACGGGUGAGUAAUACAUCGGAACGUGCCCGAUCGUGGGGGAUAACGAAGCGAAAGCUUUGCUAAUACCGCAUACGAUCUACGGAUGAAAGCAGGGGACCGCAAGGCCUUGCGCGAACGGAGCGGCCGAUGGGAGAUUAGGUAGUUGGUGGGAUAAAAGCUUACCAAGCCGACGAUCUGUAGCUGGUCUGAGAGGACGACCAGCCACACUGGGACUGGGACACGGCCCAGACUCCUACGGGAGGCAGCAGUGGGGAAUUUUGGACAAUGGGCGAAAGCCUGAUCCAGCCAUGCCGCGUGCAGGAUGAAGGCCUUCGGGUUGUAAACUGCUUUUGUACGGAACGAAAAGACUCUGGUUAAUACCUGGGGUCCAUGACGGUACCGUAAGAAUAAGCGCCGGCUAACUACGUGCCAGCCGCCGCCGUAA